rnacentral:tRNA from 15 species
GCGGGGGUAGCCAAGCACGGUCAAAUCCGAGAUAUAACCUUGUCUUGAACGCAGGAGUUCGUCGGUUCAAAUCCGGCCCCCCGCA